CGGCGUGAGCUCCGCGCCGAGGCGAGGGAGAUGCUGGCCAGGCGGCAGCGCGAUCCCCUCCAGUCCGUGCAGCGCCGCAGUCAGGAGCUGAAGCAGCAGGUUGACGGGUUGCUUUCUGAGAGUCGAUUGAAAGGAGCUCUAGAAGCCAGUAAAAGGCGAGAUAUUUACCAAAGAUGUAUCCAAUUAAAACAGGCAAUAGAUGAAAAUAAAAAUGCUCUUCAAAAACUAAACAAAGCUGAUGAACCUGCACCUGUUGGGAAUUACAGCCAGAAGAAAGAGGAGGAGCACAACCUUCUGGAUAAGCUCACCCACCAACUGCAGGAACUCGCUGUGUCCACAAGGAGAGAAAAUGUCACUGAAGCUGGGGUGCUUACUGAAAGAGAAGAAGGUGACAGUUCUGCUGAAGGAGAUGAAGAAGAAGAAGAGGAAGGUGAAGAAGGAAGUGAGGGGGAGGAUGAAGAAACAGACGAGGAAGAGGAAGAGAAACAGAAAGAUGAAUUUCACCAAGAGGCCACCAGUGGAGAAUACAUUGCUGUUGGAGAUUUUACGGCUCAGCAAGUCGGAGACCUUACAUUUAAGAAAGGGGAAAUUCUCCUUAUAAUUGAAAAAAACCCUGAUGGUUGGUGGUUGGCUGAGAACGCCAAAGGAAACAAAGGUCUUAUUCCCAGAACCUACUUGGAGCCCUAUAAUAAAGAAGAAGGCCAAGAAUCUAGUGAAGAAGGCAGUGAAGAAGAUUUAGAGGUGAGGGAUGAAACGGCAGAAGGAACAGAAGUUAAACAAAGAACGGACUCUCACUGGAGUGCUGUCCGAAAAGCCAUCUCAGAGCAGGUAAACACCGUCGACGUGUUGACUACGAUGGGAGCUAUUCCUGCUGGGUUCAGGCCUUCCACACUCUUCCAGCUUCUGGAGGAAGGGAAUCAAUUUCGAGCAAGUUACUUCUUACAACCAGAGCUCACUCCUUCACAACUGGCCUUCAGAGAUCUAAUGUGGGAUGCUAAAACAGGCUCUAUUCGGUCAAGGCCAAGUCGUGUUUCCUUGAUUCUGACCCUCUGGAGCUGUAAGAUGAUUCCUCUCCCAGGAGUGAGCAUCCAGGUUCUGAGCAGACACGUGCGCCUCUGUCUGUUCGACGGCAGUAAGGUUCUGAGCAACAUUCACACAGUCAGGGCCACAUGGCAACCUAAGAAACCCAAAACAUGGACCUUUUCUCCCCAGGUUACUGGCAUCUUGCCCUGCUUGCUUGACGGUGACUGUUUCAUCAGGUCCAAUUCUUCAUCUCCAGAUCUUGGAAUAUUAUUUGAACUUGGAAUUUCUUAUAUUCGCAAUUCAACUGGUGAAAGAGGAGAAUUAAGUUGUGGCUGGGUGUUUCUUAAACUUCUUGAUGCCAGUGGAAUUCCUAUUCCAGCAAAAACUUAUGAACUUUUCUUGAAUGGAGGCACCCCUUAUGAAAAAGGUGUUGAAGUGGACCCUUCGGUAUCUAGAAGAGCACAUGGUAGCGUUUUCCAUCAGAUGAUGACGAUGAAAAGGCAGCCUCAACUUCUAAUAAAACUGAGAUCUCUGAACAGAAGAUCAAGGAACAUGCUCAGUCUACUGCCAGAGAUAUUAAUUGGAAGUAUGUGCUCCGUUCAUUUGUUGAUAUUUUAUCGCCAGAUUCUUGGAGACGUGCUCCUGAAAGACAGGAUGAGCAUGCACAGUGCGGAUUUAAUUAGUAACCCAGUGCUGGCCACCUUCCCCAGGCUCCUGGAGCAGCCUGACAUAAUGGAUGCGCUCAGGGUGGGUGGUGUGUGUCGUGAGGGAAACCUGGCGGGUUCUGAAAGCGGUUAAACACACGCAUUCGUGAGUUCCAACACCGACGCUAGCUUUUUGUGGGUUUUGUUUUUGCCCUAUUUGGAUAAUGUCUCCCAAUCCCCGUCUGUUGUCUCGCUAACCUGGUCUCACCUGUCCUUUCUUAGCACGGAUGUUACUUUCACAGGGCUGCCUUCCCCGACCCAAUGAGCAGAUGGAGUGCCUGCUGUAUACACCACUACAGCCUCUUCCCUAUUGUUUGUUCCUUGACUUAAGAUGGCCACUGAUUGUGUCCUAAGAGCAAAACUCCAGCAUGGUUUGUUAGAUGAACUGACUGAGUUUUCAGGGGAGAGUCAGGGCCUGCGUAUCGUUUGUAUUUUAAUUCAACACAUGUUAUCCGCUAAAUGAAAUAGCAGCUGGAUGUUGAGUUGAACCCUAUGAAAUCUGUACCUUUUAGCCAUUUUUUGGCCUUCAGAAGUGGCAGUUUCAUAAAGUUCAACUUAAAUAUCAGCGUCAACAACAUCAGACCUGUAUGCCUGCAAGGCAAAUACUCAGGUAACAUGAGUGCCGCAGGGAUGUGUAAUCCAGGUCCUUGCAGAUUUAAAGAAGGCAGCAAAUGGGGAGCAGAAGCCUGGUUCAUUAAAGAGGUCCUCGGUGAGGUGCACCUAACAAAAGGCUGGGGGCCAGGUCGGGCUUCGACAUGCCGAGAAGGGAGAGGAAGAGUCAGCCGGGAGGGGGAGCAUGGGCAAGCACUUUGAGGCAGGGAGGCAUAGGGCGUGUUCUUGAGGAGGGCAGACCACCCAGUCUGGCACGUCAGAUGUCGUCGCUCGACGGUCAGGGUCGGUCUGAGUCUCGUCCUGUGGGUGAAGAGUACGGUCGGUGGUGGGCCGUCCCUGAAGGGUUUUGCUUUAGGAAGACCCCUGAUAGCACAGAGACGUGGAAAAGCACACAUGCAGGAGGGAGGGGAGCUGUGUUGGGAGGUGAGUCCUCUUGAUGAGGAGGGAGGUCAGAGGGCCCGGCAGAGAUGAAAGGAGGAAGUCUCACCUACAGAGGUUUUUAUUAGACUUUGUUUCAUGUGCUGGUUUGGCUGGGGUGGGGGUGUCAAUAGUAAUGAUGAGGUUUUAGCAGUAAGAUGUAAGAAAAUGUUCUUGGCAUGUUUACCCGUAAUUUCAGACAAGUUCAUCUGGCACUAUAGUUAGAUAAUGCAGGAUUUCUCUCUCUUCCCCUGUAAAGCAUUAGUAUCAUAAUAUUUGCUUGUUAUACAAAACAUGCAGACAUUGAUUCAUUCAACAGAUAUUUCACGAGAGCCCACGGUGGCUACGGCACUGUGCUGGACCCUAGAAGGUCUUCAGUUCAUACUUGUGUGGGGUUAAUUGAACUCUGAGUUUUUUAUUUCUUUAAAGAUGUUUUUGUGAAGCUGUGUGCACAGAUUGGAAAUAUUUACUUGCAAAGCUGUACUUCAUGCUAUCUCUCCCUGACCGUGGUCCUCAUCUCGGCAGACAGAACUGUCGAGAAGUAUGAGUUCCUGGGCUGAGAAAGAGAGUACGUUAAAAAGAUCAGAGAAGAGAGACAAGGAGCUCCUGAAGACCAUGUUCCUCCUGGUUUACCACGACUGUGUGCUCCCUCUCCUCCACUCUGCGCUCCUGCCC